GAUGGGUAGUGUAUUGGACUACCAUGGCAGUCACGGGUAACGGAGAAUUAGGGUUCGGUUCCGGAGAGGGAGCCUGAGAAACGGCUACCACAUCUAAGGAAGGCAGCAGGCGCGAUAAAUUACCCAAUCCUGAUUCAGGGAGGUAGUGACAAGAAAUAGCAAACUGGAUGAUUUUUCAUCACAGUAUUGCAAUGAGAACAACGUAAAUGCUUUAUCGAUUAACAAUUGGAGGGCAAGUCUGGUGCCAGCAGCCGCGGUAAUUCCAGCUCCAAUAGCGUAUAUUAAAGUUGUUGCAGUUAAAAAGCUCGUAGUUGAACUUCUGUACGUUCCCAGUUCUGGCUUUGGUCAAGCUGUGGAGCGUGCAUCCGCUUGCAAACUUAGACCGGCCUUCACUGGUCGACUAAGGGAGUAAGCCCUUUACUUUGAAAAAAUUAGAGUGUUUCUAGCAGGCUUUGGCUCGAAUACAUUAGCAUGGAAUAAUGGAAUAGGACUUUUGUCCAUUUGGUUGGUUAUUGGACAUUAGUAAUGAUUAAAAGGGACAGUUGGGGGCAUUAGUACUUAAUAGUCAGAGGUGAAAUUCUUGGAUUUAUUAAAGACUAACUUAUGCGAAAGCAUUUGCCAAGGAUGUUUUCAUUAAUCAAGAACGAAAGUUAGGGGAUCAAAGACGAUCAGAAUACCGUCA
rnacentral:rRNA from 1 species